AGGAUGAACGCUGGCGGUGUGCCUAAUACAUGCAAGUCGAACGGGAUCUUCGGAUCUAGUGGCGAACGGGUGAGUAACACGUUGGUACCUACCCCGAAGUGGGGAAUAACUGCCCGAAAGGGUGGCUAAUACCGCAUAAUACCGCAAGGUUAAAGCAGUAAUGCGCUUCGGGAGGGGCCUGCGUCCCAUUAGCUAGUUGGUAGGGUAAUGGCCUACCAAGGCGACGAUGGGUAGCUGGAUCGAGAGGUUGACCAGCCACACUGGGACUGAGAUACGGCCCAGACUCCUACGGGAGGCAGCAGUAAGGAAUCUUCCACAAUGGACGAAAGUCUGAUGGAGCAACACCGCGUGCAGGAUGACGGCCUUGGGUUGUAAACUGUCUUUUAUAUGGGAAGAUUAUGACGGUACCAUAUGAAUAAGGACCGGCUAACUACGUGCCAGCAGCCGC
rnacentral:rRNA from 1 species